rnacentral:ncRNA from 1 species
CGCUUUGGGGAGCUAGUAAGCUGGCUGAGAGGGAAUGAACCAAUUCCGACCCGUGACCUGAUCUGGAUAAUGCCAGCGUAGGAAUGAGAGCAUA